rnacentral:rRNA from 1 species
CAGUCGAACGAUGACGGAGGAGCUUGCUCCUCCUGAUUAGUGGCGAACGGGUGAGUAAUACGUGAGCAAUGUGCCCUUGACUCUGGGAUAAGCGCUGGAAACGGCGUCUAAUACCGGAUACGACGAUCGGAGGCAUCUCCUGGUCGUGGAAAGAACUUCGGUCAAGGAUCAGCUCACGGCCUAUCAGUUAGUUGGUGAGGUAAUGGCUCACCAAGACGACGACGGGUAGCCGGCCUGAGAGGGUGACCGGCCACACUGGGACUGAGACACGGCCCAGACUCCUACGGGAGGCAGCAGUGGGGAAUAUUGCACAAUGGGCGCAAGCCUGAUGCAGCAACGCCGCGUGAGGGACGAAGGCCUUCGGGUUGUAAACCUCUUUUAGCAGGGAAGAAGCGAAAGUGACGGUACCUGCAGAAAAAGCACCGGCUAACUACGUGCCAGCAGCCGCGGUAAUACGUAGGGUGCAAGCGUUGUCCGGAAUUAUUGGGCGUAAAGAGYUCGUAGGCGGUUUGUCACKUCUGCUGUGAAAACCCGAGGCUCAACCUCGGGCUUGCAGUGGGUACGGGCAGACUAGAGUGCGGUAGGGGAGAUUGGAAUUUCCUGGUGUAGCGGUGGAAUGCGCAGAUAUCAGGAGGAACACCGAUGGCGAAGGCAGAUCUCUGGGCCGUAACUGACGCUKAGGAGCGAAAGCAUGGGGAGCAAACAGGCUWAGAUACCCUGGUAGUCCAUGCCGUAAACGUUGGGAACUAGAUGUGGGGACCAUUCCACGGUCUCCGUGUCGUARCUAMCRYAUUAAGUUCCCCGCCUGGGGAGUACGGCCGCAAGGCUAAAACUCAAAGGAAUUGACGGGGGCCCGCACAAGCGGCGGAGCAUGCGGAUUAAUUCGAUGCAACGCGAAGAACCUUACCAAGGCUUGACAUAUACGAGAACGCGCUGGAGACAGCGAACUCUUUGGACACUCGUAUACAGGUGGUGCAUGGUUGUCGUCAGCUCGUGUCGUGAGAUGUUGGGUUAAGUCCCGAACGAGCGCAACCCUCGUCCUAUGUUGCCAGCACGUAAUGGUGGGAACUCAUGGGAUACUGCCGGGGUCAACUCGGAGGAAGGUGGGGAUGAGGUCAAAUCAUCAUGCCCCUUAUGUCUUGGGCUUCACGCAUGCUACAAUGGCCGGUACAAUGGGCUGCAAUACCGUAAGGUGGAGCGAAUCCCAAAAAGCCGGUCUCAGUUCGGAUUGAGGUCUGCAACUCGACCUCAUGAAGUCGGAGUCGCUAGUAAUCGAGAUCAGCANC